rnacentral:rRNA from 1 species
UUUCCGUAGGUGAACCUGCGGAAGGAUCAUUACCGAGAAGUGCCCUUUUGGGGGCGACCUCCCACCCGUGAUUACAUACCGAUGUUGCUUUGGCGGGCGGCUUGCUCCGGCUUGCCACACGCCCGUCAGAGGCCCCAAAAACCUUUGUUUACUGUGAAGUCUCAAGUGAAACACAAAAAACUUCAAAAAACUUUCAACAACGGAUCUCUUGGUUCCGGCAUCGAUGAAGAACGCAGCGAAAUGCGAUAAGUAAUGUGAAUUGCAGAAUUCAGUGAAUCAUCGAAUCUUUGAACGCACAUUGCGCCCUUUGGUAUUCCGAAGGGCAUGCCUGUCCGAGCGUCAUUGCACCACUCAAGCUCCGCUUGGUAUUGGGAUGCGCCCCAGGGGUGGCCCCGAAAAGCAGUGGCGGUCCGGCGAGACUCUAAGCGUAGUAGAUUUUAUUUUCCCGCUUUGGACGAUCGAGCCGUGGCCUGCCAAGUGUCAACCGCGCUUGCUUCGCGCUCUCUCUAAUGGUUGACCUCGGAUCAGGUAGGGAUACCCGCUGAACUUAAG